GGGUAUAUUCAUUAGUGCAAACUCAUUUCAGUGGUGUAACCAGUGUUACAGAUACAACCUGAAUCAUGUGGCAUGGGAUGUAUUAAUUUGUGCAAAUCUUCAGUGGUGUAACCAGUGUAAAAGAUACAACCUGAUCAUGGUGGCAUGGGGUAUAUUCAUUUGUGCAACUCAUUUCAGUGGUGUCCAGUGUCAGAUACAACUGAAUCAUGUGGCAUGGGUAUAUUCAUUAGUGCAAACUCAUUCAGUGGUGUAACCAGUGUUACAGAUCAACCUGAAUCAUGUGGCAUGGGGUAUAUUCAUUAUGCCACUCAUUCUAUUUGACAUAUUCAGGUGGAUACAACCCCGGUUUUGCCCUGUUUGCUUCAGUUAUUUCCAGUGAAUACACUCCGUACCAUUAAUCAGAUCAAGUCCAGUCAGCUAUUACACCUGUAUCACCUUGACAACGUGUCUGGAAACAACCCAGGUAACCAGUAACCACUAAGGAAGUCCAGCGGACUUGCUGCCUACUAAACCCACCUAAUAAAUACGUGAAGAGAAAACACAUGAAACAUACCAAACAAUGUCCACUGCUGGUGUGACCAACCCCCCCCCCCCCUUCUAAAAUGUAACAACAAUGAUGUUACAACCAUAAAUAAACUGUAGCAAGCCGUGUUUAUAAUCAUGGGCAUAUCGUCUUACAACUUCGAGCAUUCUUUGUGAACACGCUGAUGCCACGCAGGGCCAACAGCCAGAAGGUUGAGGGUUUGCUGUCCACCAUGUACGAGACUCUCCCUGCCUGUCCACCAUUAGAGACUCUCCCUGCCUGUCCACCAUGUACGAGACUCCCCUGCCUGUCCACCAGUACGAGACCUCCCUGCCUGUCCACCAUGUAAGAGACUCUCCCUGGCUGUGCCACCAUGUCGAGACUCUCCCGGCCUGUCCACCAUGGACGAGACUCCCCUGCCCUGUCCUCCACCUGGACGAGACUCUCCUGCUCGGGCCACCAUGUACGAGACUCCCCUGCCGUCCCACCAUGUACGAGACUCUCCGCCUGUCCACCAUGUACGAGACUCUCCCGGCCUGUCCACCAUGGACGAGACUCUCCCUGCCUGUCCACCAUGGACGAGACUCUCCCCUGCCUGUCCACCAUGACGAGACUCUCCCUGCCUGACUCGCCCUGCCUGUCCACCAUGGACGAGACUCUACCUCGCCUGACUCCCCUGCCUGACCUCCCCUGCCUGACUCUCCCUGCCUGACCACCAGGGACGAGACUCUCCUGCCUGUCCACCAUCGACGAGACCCCUGCCUGUCCACCAUGGACGAGACUCUCCUGACGACUCUCGCCCUGCCUGACUCCCUUGCCUGACCUCUCUGCUACCACCAUGGGACGAGACUCUCCCUGCCUGUCCACAUGGACGAGACUACUCCCCCGGUCCACAUGACGAGCUCUCCCUGCUGACUCUCCUGUCUGUCCACCAUGGAUGAACUCUCCCUGACUGACUCUCCCGGCCUGACUCUCCCGCCUGUCCACCAUGGACGAGACUCUCCCUGCCUGUCCACCAUGACGAGACUCUCCCUGCCUGUCACACCAGGACGAGACUCUCCCUGCCUGACUCUCCCUGUCUGUCCACCAUGGAGAGACUCUCCUGACUGGACUCUCCUGCGACUCUCCCUGCCUGUCCACCAUGGACGAGACUCUCCCUGCCUGAUCCUUAUUAACUGUGGAGAGUAGACGCACACGACCCUUGUCACUGUCCAGAGUAGACCCACUACUGAUUCCUUAUCAACUGUCCAGAGUAGACCCCACUACUGAUCCUUAUCAACUGUCCAGAGUAGACCCACUACUGAUCCUUAUACACUGUCCAGAAGUAGACCCAUACUGAUCCUCAUUACUGUCCAGAGUAGACCCACUACGACCUUAUUAACUGGAGAGAGUUGACCACCACUGAUCCCUAUCAACUGUCCAGAGUAGACCCACUCCUGAUCCUAUAAACUGCCCAGAGUAGACCACUACUGAUCCUUAUCAACUGUAAAGACUAGACCCACUACUGUUCCUUAUCAAACUGUCCAGAGUAGACCACUAAUGAUCCUUAUCAACUGUCCAGAGUAGACCACUAACUGAUCCUUAUACACUGUCCAGAGUAGACCCACUACUGAUCCUUAUACACUGUCCAGAGUAGACCCACUUACACGCUGCCUAUCAGCUGACCUCUCCCGCUGACCUCUCCGCUGCCUAUCGGCUGACCUCUCCGCUGCCUAUCGGCUGACCUCUCCGCUGCCUAUCGGCUGACCUCUCCGCUGCCUAUCGGCUGACCUCUCCGCUGCCUAUCAGCUGACCUCUCCGCUGCCUAUCAGCUGACCUCUCCACUGCUAGGUAUAGAUAGAGGGCAGGAUAGACAGACUGGUAGACUAUAUUGUUACUAUGAAUGGUGGAUAGAGGCCAGGAUAGACAGACUGGUAGUCUAUAUUGUCACGAUGAAUGGUGGAUAGACAGACUGGUAGUCUAUAUUGUCACGAUGAAUGGUGGAUAGACAGACUGGUAGACUAUAUUGUUACUAUGAAUGGUGGAAACAGACUGGUAGUCUAUAUUGUCACUAUGAAUGGUGGAUAGACAGACUGGUAGUCUAUAUUGUUACUAUGAAUGGUGGAUAGACAGACUGGUAGUCUAUAUUGUUACUAUGAAUAGUGGAUAGACAGACUGGUAGUCUAUAUUGUUACUAUGAAUAGUGGAUAGACAGACUGGUAGUCUAUAUUGUUACUAUGAAUAGUGGAUAGAGGCCAGGAUAGACAGACUGGUAGAUGUCAUUGUCACUAUGUUGAAUAACCUGUCCUCUCUGCUACCUACAUUCACUUUGUUGAUUAACCUGUCCUCUCUCCUACCUACAUUCACUAUGUUGAUUAACCUGUCCUCUCUGCUACCUACAUUCACUAUGUUGAUUAACCUGUCCUCUCUGCUACCUACAUUCACUAUGUAGCAGAGAGGACAGGGUUUAAUCAACAUAGUGAAUGUAGGUAGCAGAGAGGACAGGGGUUAAUCAACAUAGUGAAUGUGGUAGCAGAGAGGACAGUUAAUCAACAUAGUGAAUGU
rnacentral:lncRNA from 1 species